CCUACGGGUGGCAGCAGUGAGGAAUAUUAGUCAAUGGACGAGAGUCUGAACCAGCCAAGUAGCGUGAAGGAUGACUGCCCUAUGGGUUGUAAACUUCUUUUAUAUGGGAAUAAAACGUUCCACGUGUGGGAUUUUGUAUGUACCAUAUGAAUAAGGAUCGGCUAACUCCGUGCCAGCAGCCGCGGUAAUACGGAGGAUCCGAGCGUUAUCCGGAUUUAUUGGGUUUAAAGGGAGCGUAGGUGGAUUGUUAAGUCAGUUGUGAAAGUUUGCGGCUCAACCGUAAAAUUGCAGUUGAAACUGGCAGUCUUGAGUACAGUAGAGGUGGGCGGAAUUCGUGGUGUAGCGGUGAAAUGCUUAGAUAUCACGAAGAACUCCGAUUGCGAAGGCAGUUCACUGGACUGCAACUGACACUGAGGCUCGAAAGUGUGGGUAUCAAACAGGAUUAGAUACCCCUGUAGUC
rnacentral:rRNA from 1 species